rnacentral:rRNA from 1 species
UACGUAGGAGGCAAGCGUUGUCCGGAAUUACUGGGUGUAAAGCGCGUGUAGGCGGGAGGCCAAGUCUGUGGUGAAAUCGCUCGGCUUAACUGGGCGGGGUCCAUGGAAACUGGUCACCUGGAGGUCGGUAGAGGCAAGUGGAAUUCCCGGUGUAGUGGUGAAAUGCGUAGAGAUCGGGAGGAACACCGAGUGGCGGAAGGCGGUUCUCUGGGCAUUACCGUGACGCUGAGGAGGCGAAAGUGUGGGGAGCGAACAGG